AUACGGAGGGUGCAAGCGUUAAUCGGAAUUACUGGGCGUAAAGCGUACGUAGGCGGUCCGUUAAGUUAGAUGUGAAAGCCCCGGGCUUAACCUGGGAACUGCAUUUAAAACUGGCGAACUAGAGUUGAGUAGAGGGGAGUGGAAUUUCAGGUGUAGCGGUGAAAUGCGUAGAGAUCUGAAGGAACACCAGUGGCGAAGGCGGCUCCCUGGACUCGAACUGACGCUGAGGUACGAAAGCGUGGGUAGCAAACGGGAUUAGAAACCCUAGUAGUCC
rnacentral:rRNA from 1 species